rnacentral:tRNA from 1 species
GGGUAAUAGCUCAGUAGUAGAGCAUGUGCUUAGCAUGCACAUGGUCCUGGGUUCAAUCCCCGAUAUGUCCA